GAUGAACGCUGGCGGCGUGCCUAAUACAUGCAAGUCGAGCGAAUGGAUUAAGAGCUUGCUCUUAUGAAGUUAGCGGCGGACGGGUGAGUAACACGUGGGUAACCUGCCCAUAAGACUGGGAUAACUCCGGGAAACCGGGGCUAAUACCGGAUAACAUUUUGAACCGCAUGGUUCGAAAUUGAAAGGCGGCUUCGGCUGUCACUUAUGGAUGGACCCGCGUCGCAUUAGCUAGUUGGUGAGGUAACGGCUCACCAAGGCAACGAUGCGUAGCCGACGUGGGAGGGUGAUCGGCCACACUGGGACUGAGACACGGCCCAGACUCCUACGGGAGGGAGCAGUAGGGAAUAUUGCUCAAUGGACGAAAGUCUGAAGCAGCAACGCCGCGUGAGGGAUGAAGGUGCUCUGCAUUGUAAACCUCUGUAGUCGGGGACAAAAAACAGGUUACUACCUGUCUGAUGGUACCCGAAAAGUAAGGAUCGGCUAACUACGUGCCAGCCGCCGCAGUAA
rnacentral:rRNA from 1 species